rnacentral:misc_RNA from 1 species
UCCGGUUUGUCACCGGCAGUCUCAUUAGAGUGCCCAACUGAAUGUAGCAACUAAUGACAAGGGUUGCGCUCGUUGCGGGACUUAACCCAACAUCUCACGACACGAGCUGACGACAGCCAUGCACCACCUGUGAUCGCGUCCCGAAGGAAAGGUGUGUUUCCACACCGGUCGCGAACAUGUCAAGCCCAGGUAAGGUUCUUCGCGUUGCAUCGAAUUAAACCACAUCAUCCACCGCUUGUGCGGGUCCCCGUCAAUUCCUUUGAGUUUUAGCCUUGCGGCCGUACUCCCCAGGCGGGGCACUUAAUGCGUUAGCUGCGGCACGGAACCCGUCGAUAGGGCCCCACACCUAGUGCCCAACGUUUACGGCGUGGACUAC